UAAGUAAAUUAUUUCUUUUUUAUUCUCCUAUUUGUGUUGAAAACUCAUGUUUGGACAACAGCUUGCGCAGAAGAAGAAAGUUACCAUGUCUCCACCCUGUCCUGUAGGAAGUUAUAGAAGUGGCAUCAUGAAAUGACAAACACAGCUAACAGAGAGGAAAACUAUUCUUAAAAGGAUUUUCCUGAAAACCUGGCAACAGGACCAGAAGGCAAGACAAAUAAGAGGUGGAGGAAUGUGAGAAUGAAGUACAGAAGGAAGUGCCAAGGGAAAACAGCUGCUAGACAGGGCUUCAAGGGAAACAUGAAAAGACUGACAGAUGUGCUGCACUUGUCAUGAUUCAGAAAGCUCUCCAUGGACUGAAAUACAGCACUCACCUGCUUAAUAAGUUUCCACAGGAGUGAGCUGGUAUGGAGAUACUGUGCCACAGAUCUGGUCAUCACUUUGAGGGGAAUUUCUCUGUUACCGAAGGCCAGAAAGACAAGAAAGAACUAUGUUUGGAACUGUUAUGCAAACCACUGAAAGUGAAUGUCAAAUUGCUCAUCCAGCACUUCCCAGCUGAAUCUCAGCUUUCCAGGAUACAGUCCAUCAUUCUGU
rnacentral:lncRNA from 1 species